rnacentral:rRNA from 1 species
ACGGCGGCCGUAACUAUAACGGUCCUAAGGUAGCGAAAUUCCUUGUCGGGUAAGUUCCGACCUGCACGAAUGGCGUAAUGAUGGCCAGGCUGUCUCCACCCGAGACUCAGUGAAAUUGAACUCGCUGUGAAGAUGCAGUGUACCCGCGGCAAGACGGAAAGACCCCGUGAACCUUUACUAUAGCUUGACACUGAACAUUGAGCCUUGAUGUGUAGGAUAGGUGGGAGGCUUUGAAGUGUGGACGCCAGUCUGCAUGGAGCCGACCUUGAAAUACCACCCUUUAAUGUUUGAUGUUCUAACGUGGACCCGUUACCCGGGUUGCGGACAGUGUCUGGUGGGUAGUUUGACUGGGGCGGUCUCCUCCUAAAGAGUAACGGAGGAGCACGAAGGUUGGCUAAUCCUGGUCGGACAUCAGGAGGUUAGUGCAAUGGCAUAAGCCAGCUUGACUGCGAGCGUGACGGCG